rnacentral:lncRNA from 1 species
UUACUUCUCCUAACCAUUCUAUGUGAUAGGGAUUCCCAUGGUGCAUGUGAUGACCACGGAGAGGUUAAAUUAACUUUGCCUUAGGUCAUGCUUAGAGAGAGAUGUUGAAAUUUGAAAUCAGACAGUCAAUGGGCUUAAACACUAGGCUAUCUUAUUAUCUAUAUGAUUUCUAAUCUAGGCAGUGUUUGACACAUGGCAGGCACUUCAUAUAAAUACUACUUGAAUUAAGAGUUUAAUUAAUUUUGUUUACCUAAAUUCAACUAUUUUUAAUUUGUAUCUUUCUUAUCUCAAUGAUUGCUCUAAAUGUGUUUUCCUUUUCAUCAGCCUGUGAGGCAAAGCUAUACAAUAAAUAAAUUGGGUAAAAGAUCUGUAUUUGCUAUACCUGGUACAACAUUGCGCUGUUAAAAUUCUUAUGUUUCUCGUCUGUAGAUCUAAAGGGCACAGCCCAUUACCCAAGACAAAUCUUCUAUAUAAAAGAUGUGAAAAAAUCGCAGGAAAUUCUAUGAAAGCAUUCAGUAAUCACCUUUCUUGUCACCUCACCCUUCACCCCGUUAUUACCAGUAGAUAUCUAUCUCCAUGCUUUUAAGUUGCGCCUCAUCAGACAUUGUCACUAUCUAAUGGCUGUUAUAGAAGAGGUAACGAGAGGUAAGACAACAAACAUUGGAUAGCUGAAGUUUGAUAAAAAGCUGACUGCUGUUGCUAAGUAAAAAACCCAGUAGGCAAGUUAUUUGUUCACCUAUAAUGCCAGGCGUUGUGACCCAUUUUAUGUCGAAGUUUUAAAGCAGUCUUUCAGUCAGGAACAGAUGCAUCAAUGAGCUUGAAGACAUGUUACAUUUUAAAAAUGACUACUACUCUUGGUUGCUGUCUUCCUUUACCUGGAAAUUCUGAAUUUACCUUGAAGAACAUCAUCAUCAAAGCCAUGUUUGGUUUAGAGUUCCUGGUAAAGAAGAAGAAGAGGAAGAGGAAGAGGAAGAGGAGGGAAGGAAGGCAGGAGGGAUCUUUCAUUAUAGUCUCAUUUUGUAACACUUAAAAUAAAUAAACUGAAUGUGUUUCUGUACAGUGGUGGGUUUGGGAACUUAAAAACGUUCAAAUACCUCCCUACUUCACUCUCUCCAC